rnacentral:rRNA from 1 species
UUAAGAUCCUUAAAUUCAUAGAAUUUGGCGGUAAUUAAGUCUUUUUAGAGGAACCUGUUCUGUAAUCGAUAAUCCACGAUUGAUUUCACUUUAUUAUUAUUUGUAUAUCUCUGUCAAUGAAUGUAUUAUUAGAUUAAUUUUCUUCAAUUUUAGUGAAUUAAUGUUAGGUCAAGGUGCAGUUUUUAUAAAUGUAGAAAUGGGUUACAAUGUUUUUGUUGAAUAUUUUAUUUUGGAAUAUUAAUUUUGAAAUUGGAUUUAAAAGUAAUUUUAUUUAGAAUUUAUAAGUUGAUUAAAGCUCUUAAUUAU